UGUUGUUGUAUUGUUUGGUUAGUUUCGCAUAAUACGCGCGAAAAGGGCAUGGUAUAGUAGAACGAAAUUUAAUUGGAGCUAUACUGCCGUGUUAAGAAUAAAGCGGCCCACUCACGAGCGAGCAUCGAGCGAGCCUAACAUGUUGUUGCGGUGGCCACACACAAUUGCAAAUUUUGAUCGAACAUCAGUUUAACAAGUGCGCACAUUCAGUCGAAGUCGGCCCAUUGUACCUAGCAUGGAAUUGUUAUCGAAGCGACAGAAGCUGGCAAUUGCAAUAGGCCUCACAAUAAUAUCUGAGAAAAAGAAAAAUAAAAUAAGAGUGGCUUUUAAACCGGACAAAGUACUCGCACAUGAAUUUGUUGCAAGAACUUAAAUCUUUCUUUAGAGGUGUUUUUUUACCUAUUUUUUUAGUUUUCACAAUCAGCCGUAACUAAAAGAAGCUCAUAAUACCAAAGAGAAGGUUCAUAUACAUCAUCAGGUGAGGUCCCCGUUCCUUUUGACUUGAUUACUUUUCUGAGUUCUCUUCGAAACGAUGCCCUAGCAAAACACCGUCCGAACGUUUUUCGUGGCAUAAGUCAAAAUAGGAAGGACACUCUUAUAAAAUGACUUGGUGGAAUUAUUCCCACUACCAGAAUGAAUUUUUGGAAUAAUUUGCCAGUAUCCGAACAUCCUGUGAAUGAAGAUGAAUAAAUUAUUAAUCAUAAUCAAAAUUUCAGUUGACAUAAUAUUGCUGUGUAUUUAUUGGAUAAGUUAAAGUGUUCGUUUUAGUUACAAAUACAAAUAUUAUU